GGGGCUGUGGCGAAAUUGGCAGCCGCCGCGGACUUAAAAUCCGCUGGAGUGUCCCUCCGUAUGGGUUCGAGUCCCUUCAGCCCCA
rnacentral:tRNA from 1 species